UCUGCUUUCAGCUCAGUUGGUAGAGCACGGGACUCUUAAUGUCAGGGUCAUGGGUUUGAGUCCCACACUGCACAA
rnacentral:tRNA from 1 species